rnacentral:rRNA from 1 species
CACGUAGGGGGCAAGCGUUGUCCGGAUUUAUUGGGCGUAAAGAGCUCGUAGGUGGCUUAGUAAGUCGGGUGUGAAACCUCCAGGCUCAACCUGGAGACGCCACCCGAUGCUGCUAUAGCUUGAGUCCGGUAGGGGAGCGUGGAAUUCCUGGUGUAGCGGUGAAAUGCGCAGAUAUCAGGAGGAACACCCGUGGCGAAGGCGGUUCUCUGGGACGGUACUGACGCUGAGACGCGAAAGCGUGGGGAGCGAACAGG